AUAUGAUGUUAAUGUGUAGUCCAUACCAAACACAUAAUGCUCUCUUAAAGAGCAUUAUGUGUAAAACCAUUGAAUCACCACAACAAGAAGAAAAGAUAACAUGCAACUGUCAGAAAAAUCAAUAAUUACCUUUACAGUUAGGAAGAAAACAUUUAUGAUCAACAGGGAUAUGGCAACAUAAACAAACAAGGACACAAGUGACAUCCGAUUCUGAUUCAAAUGCCUCUUAACCAUGAUUGGUUCCUUUCCCAACUGUGCUCCACCAAUUCCAAACCAAUGCGAGAAACACAUGAUUUUCUCCAGUAUAAUAUCCAAAACUGCUUUAGCAAAGACAGCACAUUCUUGUAAGAUGCCAUCAUUCAUACUAAGACUGAGAAAAAUUCAUACUGAUUUUCAGUAUUUUUCUUCUGUCAACAAAUCUCAUUAGAAGACCCAAACCCAGAACAAACAGACCUAUUAUCAGAUUCUGCUCACUACAAUUCUGUGCUUGGCAUCAGAGUGACUGUAACGACUGUACUGUACCACAAUUCCCCCGGCAGGAUGCCGCUGACACACUUCACUGUGUCAUGUGUGUCCCCAGUGAGUGGCUGUAAUGUCAAAGAUGGACCAGUGCACUUUGAUUUUCUCUGUAUUACACUUAGUUUGGCUUUUUAGCGUGGGUCCAGGAAAUUGUUUGUUGAUUAUUGUGAUCUGAUGCCUGGCUUCAAACCUUCAUCAUCAUAAUAAAGAUGAAUUCCUUUA